UCUCGGAAUAAAGAUGAGAUCCCAAUUUUUUGGGAAGAGAUUGCCGGGGUCCGAGGAAGUGCACCCCGGACCUCAUUGAGCAUGGAAUGGAAGUACUGUGGAAUCUAGUAGAGGCUCAAUUUGUGUUUUCCUGUGGUCCUAGUUCUUCUUUGCUCUAUCGAUGGCAAAGCGGAUGCGGUUGGAGUGCGAUAUUACAAGGAGUGCAGCUGCAUGCGGCUCAAUUGCGGUGUACGGGGUGGUGUUGGAUUGGAUCUAGCUGCCGCAAGUCAAGGAGUGGUGGUGGCACAAGGCAAAUUCGGAAGAGUGGCUGGAACAAUCAGCCUAUGAGAAAUUGCAGUAGCCAUUCUUGAUUAUAGUCUCGGGGUGACUUCCGUUGUACUCCAGAGAGGUAGUUUUGACUUCAUAGUUUAUGAACACAUUUUCAGUAGAUUUAAAAAAAAAAAAAAAAAAAAAAAAAA